ACAAAACUAAGUGCUUGGAAGGGGAGGUUUCUUUCUAUGGCUGGAAGAAUCUGCUUAAUCAAAUCGGUGUUCACAUCUGUACUGCUACUACUUCUCUUUCUUCAAAGCCCCUGAAAUAGUGUGUGAGAGUAUUAUACGCAUUCAGAGAAGGUUUCUGUGGGGUUGGGGAAGGGAGAACAGACCAAUACCGUGGGUGAGUUGGGACAAUCUAUGCAGACCCUUGGAGGAGGGCGGGCUGGGGAUCAAAGAUGUUAGGAAGUUCAAUGCAGCACUCCUAGCAAAAUGGAAGUGGAGACUCAUGAGUGGAGAAAAAGGUGUAUGGAAAGAUGUUCUGAUGUCGAAGUAUGGGGUGGACAUAGAUCCAAGUGGUAGUAAUCAGAAGAAGCAUUCGUGGUGGUGGAGAGAUCUGUGCAAAAGUUGUGGUGAGGGAGAAGAAGUAAGCUGGUUUCACAGUGCAACUAGUUGGAAGGUGGGUAGUGGGGAAAAAGUGCGGUUCUGGGAGGAUACAUGGGCUGCUAGCCAACCACUACGAGAAACCUUCCCGAGGCUUUUCUCCCUAUCGCUGGAUAAAGGAUCUAAGGUGGCUGAGGUAGGUAUAUGGGAGAACACUGAGUGGAACUGGAUGUUGGGGUGGAGAAGACCCAGGUUUCAGUGGGNNNNNNNNNNNNNNNNNNNNNNNNNNNNNNNNNNNNNNNNNNNNNNNNNNNNNNNNNNNNNNNNNNNNNNNNNNNNNNNNNNNNNNNNNNNNNNNNNNNNUGAGAUGCUACGAUUGAUUGGUAGGGUUAAGCUGAAUAGGGAUGCCGUGGAUAUUCAGACGUGGGAAGGGGAUACGUCUGGAGAGUUCUCAGUCAAAGCUGCGUAUGAACGACUCACGAAUUAUGCAAGGAGUACUCCAAAUACGGUUUUCAAGCAAUUGUGGCAGGUCAAAGCAUCACCUAACGUGUUGGUAACUGCGUGGAGGGCUCUACUUGACAGACUCCCAACUAAAACAAACUUAAUGAGAAGAGGGGUGCUAGUUAACCAUCAGUUGUGUGUGCUGUGCGGCGGUGAGAAUGAAACAACACAACACCUCUUUAUGGAGUGUAGAAUAGCUCAAUGUGUGUGGAAUCGAUGCCUUAGCUGGCUGGGAAUUGCAUUUGUACAACAUAAAGAUCUGCUAAACCACUUUCAACAAUUCAAUUCUCCUUUGUUCAAUUGUAAACAAAAUCUGGUGUGGAAAGGCAUGUGGGCAGCGAUUGUUAGGAGCAUAUGGGAGCAGAGGAACCUCAUUGUCUUCAAGCAAGGGGUGGUGGAUGAUGAUGAAAUUUUUCACAUGGCACAAGUCAAAGCGUGGCUGUGGAUGAAACAUAGGCAACGGGGUUUUGAUUACUCCCUAGCGGAGUGGCAUUCAAACCCAAUUCAGUGUUUAAAGUGCUAACAUGACAGAGAGGGUGCGUAAGGAUGUCACAGGGGAUGCUAAGUUAUAGGAGGGAUGAUCCAGAUGCAACAGGUGGAGGUAGUUUAAGUGGGCAGAAGGCUCAGCAACAGGGUGCAUAUUGGGUUAAAACAGGGACUCACUGGCGAAAGGAGAAAGAGAGGUAUGUGCUCCUCUGUAAGCCAGCAAGAGUAAUGGGUGGUCUAGGAGGACCAUUAUGUUAUGAAUGAAUGAGGGUUCUCUUUUUUCACUGUCUUGGUGGCACUGGGUGCUAAGGGAAGGAAUGCAUGGUAGGUACGUGAGUGUGUACCACGUGUGUUGGAGUUAAGUUCAGUGUACAGGUGUGCAGGACCAUUUUUUUGCACCUAAAGCCACGUGGUGCCAGUAAGGGUCCGGCACAAGGAUGUAAAGCUGGAAUAGCCUGUUAGGAGGUUUUGGGUGAUGUCAUGGGAUGGAUGUUGCAGGUGCGUGCGUGGUGAAAACCAGCAAUGGGGUGCAGCAGUAGCAAUGUAUCUGGUUGCCAGUGGUUGGGUCUGUUGGGUUAGCAUGUGCUGCAGUAUAAGAUACAAUUGGACUGGUUCUCUGGUGCCUAUUUUAUAGGUCUUCUCUCUCUGCGGUGUGUAUUUUUAGCUGUUUUAUCGUUUUAUGUUAUAGUUUUUCUCUGUAUAAGGGUUGGGACACUCCUAAAGUGUCCCAUUUAAUUCAUUAUUCAUUGCUGAUAAAAAAAAAAAACAAAUAUGCAAAUAAGAGAAGGGAAGGCAAGGAAAACCAUAUAAAGAAGAAUGAUUCCUUUGUGAUGAGAUGGGGCCAUUGAAACCAUGUCAAAGAAAAAGCCAGACAAAAACUCUAUAUGCAUGUGUCACCAAUAUUAAAGUGGAUAAAAAAAAUUGUUCUAGUAGUUGCAACAUCCACAUUUGACUCAAACAAAUAGAUUCUCGAUUCUAGAUACUCUUAUCAUAUAUGUCCCAAUUUUUUUUUAACCUUAGAGCUUAAAGGUUUCACACUAAUCACUAUAAAAAAAAUUCACUAAAUAGAAAUUGAUUUAGGGACUUUUUUAUUAUUAUUAUAUAGGUUGAUUUAUAGGACAUUUAGAAAUUGAGGAUUAUUAUUUUUUAAAUUUUAUUUUGUUAUUGAAUAGGUUUCCAACUACUCAUUACCAAAAUUAGUGACUAAGAUUAUAGGUACUUUGAAUUUAUAUUCUAAUUUAACUCUAGUUAUUUUAAUCACAAAUGUUUUAAACUUAGAAACCAUUAACUUAUGUUUUAAAAGUAAUUUUUCAUGUAAGGAGGGUGUUACAUUUAUUUUUAACUAUAUAUUUAUUAGAUUAGCACUUGUAGAGGGCGAUGAUGAAAAAACUAUUGAUUGAAACUACCAAGCUGUGGCACACAUAACUAUUGAUUGAGAAAAAACUUUUUAAACUUUGGUGAAGCAAGACUUCCUAAAGGGUGUCUAGAAGGUCAACAAAAGUAAAAACUAACAUCAUAAUCCAUAAUACUAAAACUAUUUUAGACUACAUCUAAAUGUAAACGUAGAAAAGUUUUUUAAAGAUGAAGAUAAAGAUGAAAGGAGAAAUUUCCUUAACUAAUGGAGUGGGUUCAUAAGUAGCAUAUAUUAUAAUUUUGAUGAUAACAAAUAAUCAUAUUUUAGUUGUCUAAGAAUCAUUUAGUUUGCAAGGGUUUAUAAAAUCUUUUAAAAUUGAAUGAUGGAACAUUCAUCGUUUAGAAAAUGCAAAUAAAGACUAAAUAUAUAUAGAAGUAUUAAGGAAGACAAAUGUUUCUUUUUUGCACAGGAAUUGAGUUGGACUAUAUGUUAUAAAUAAUUGGAGAAAGCAAAUGAGAAUACUUAAUUGGUAUCUCAACUCUAAGUUUUUUUGUUUUUUGGAUGACCUUCAUCAGCUGAUGCUAGUCUUUUUUAGUGUAGAUACACAACAAUUUUAAUACAUUAUCUUAUGGUUAUAGAAUUUUGGUUGGGAUAUAGAUUGAAUGCACCUUUUGUAUAAGCGUUGAAAUAUUCUUCAAGUGCUUCAUGUUCUUUGAUUUAACUAAUUCUUUAUCGAUAAUUUAUUUAUAUAUAUAUAUAUAUAAUUUAGAUGCAUAAUCUACAAAAAGGUAUAGAUGAAACCUUAUAAAAAACACUAAACACAUAAAAGAAUAGACACAAGUCUAAUAAAACACCAUAUACUAAUUCAUUAAGUGUAACCCCGCGCCCUUAUCUCUUUCUCUCUCUCUCUCUCUCUCUCUCAAAUCUCUUCUCUUACUUCUUUGUACUUUUCUUCCUUCAUACCUAAUCUAUUUCAAAAUCUGAUCACACCCUACAGUAGCUGAUGAGCAAUGAUAAUUUCUACAAAAUCAUAUUUUCAAACAAAUUAAGUUUGUGUUUACUCUAAAAUUUCAUUUUUCUUUCAUUUUCCAUAUGAAUUGGUCAUCAAUCUUGGUGGAGUUAGUUGAGAAAAGUUCUCCUCUCAACUUGGUUAAGCUCAUGCUAAAAUUUGAUAAUGUUCGGAUACCUUGUUCUAGGUCUUUAGAUUUUGGAGUGAUUCCUCUAGUGAAGCUAAAAAUUCCUUGAAAUAAGAAAUUAUAGGUAAGGGAAGUUAUUUAUGUUCUUGAUAGAAUCUUAGAAUUGAUUUAGAUAAGAAGUUAAUUUAGUAAGUAAAUAUGUAUGUUAGAUCAUAAAGUUUGUUAAAUUGAUUUUGAUUAUGGCUUGAUGAAUAUACGAGUUUGAAGGAUUUAUAUUGGAUUGAAGGAUGUCUUUUAAUUUGGAUUCAUCAUUUUGGAUGGUUUAGAAGUUAUUUUAUUAGAAUAUUUUUAAAAGAUCUUUGAAAACACAUUUGCUUCUAUGUUGAUGUUGAUUUUAUGAUAUUUUUGCUUAAGUGAGACAUUCUCACUCAAACAAAAACAGCCUUGCACUCAAAUUUGUUUCCAGUCAUGUUUUCGCUCAAGCGAAAUAGCACUGAUAAAUAAACUCUAUUGACCUAAUUCUUACUAAAGCUAUUUUUUUUUUGCUCAAGUGAGGCCUGAUUCUUACUUAAGCUAAAAUAUUGUCACUGAAGCUAAAAAGAACUUCUUUCUUUCUUUUCUUAUUUUCUUUUCAAUAAUUGGAUUAUGUAUGAAAACUUUUGUAAAUGUAAAGUCAAUAUUAGUUUGUAUGUUCAAUUGAUUUGUGAAAUUUUUAAAUGAUAUGUAUUGUAUGAGAAAAAUAAAAUUUGUAAGAAAUUGAGGUCAUACAUUUGGGAUAAUGUAUGAAUCAUUGUUUGAUUUGUGUGAUUAGUAUUGACUUCUAUGUUGUAACAAAGAUCAUCUAGCUUCAUUGAUGGUCUAUGUCACAUAGACUAAGCCAUUAGGUGGUAAGAAGUUGAUGAGGUACUUCAUUACAAACCUUGAUCAUAUGUAGAUACACAAUAUUUGAUGGCUUGAACUUAACAUUUCUCUUAUGUUUGCUUGUAAAUCUAAGACUUGGAUAUUGAAUUAGACGUUAAUUGAUAUUUUACUUAUUGAAUAUCUUUAAUGUAUAGAUCCAUAUAUAUGGUUUAUAUGAAUGUUGUAUAUUGAUAUUAAAAUGUAAUUAGAUUGUGGAUGAUACAUAGAUUUUGUAUGUUUUUAUGUUUGAUUGAGAAAAAUAAAUAAAAACAUGGAUUAUUUAUGGAUUACUAAUUUAAUUGUUUCUUUUUAUAUAUAUUUUGUAUGUUAGAAAUUUAUUUCAAUAACUUAUCCUUACAUGUAUUUGUGUGUAUUAUAAAUUGUGAUGAUUGUACUAUGUACAUUAGUAAAAAUAUAUAUUUACCGGUACACGAAUGACAUUGAAAAGAAAUAAAGAUUUUAUUUUGAUGUAUAUAUAUAUAUAUAUAUAUAUGAUGUGAAUUAUUAAGUUUAUAUUUUGAACUACUAAAAGAUUUAUAUAAAUCCAUUAGAAUUUAUGUAAUAGUGUAAAGGAUAUUUUUGAUGGAAAAAACACGUGGAAGCAACAUAUAUAAUCACGAAUCAACUGCAGAAAAUAAACAACACAAAUUUAACGUGGUUCGGUCGUCAACUGCAAUCUACAUCCACACAGACAACUAUUAGAUUUUCAUUUUGUCCUGUUGCACACCGAUUACAAGUACAAUGAUCUCUUUAAAUAAAAAUUAUAAAAGGGAUACAAUGAUUAAGUUUACUCACUAAACAUGCUGUCUAGCCUGAUGAAGUAGAAAUAUGAAUAUUUGUUGGCUUAAGAAGUUAGGUAAGAAGAAGCUCUCAGCUCAAGAAGCAUUAUCAUGGUUGAAGUAGUCUAACAAAUACAGUAGUGGAGAGUGUUGUUGGCAACGAAGAUGGUCAAUAUUCAUGUUAUUGGAAGAACAUGAUGAGCAGACAAAGGGAUAGCGACAAUUCGUGCCAGCAAAUAUCUCUUUCUUCACCAUCAUUAUUUGUGGCUUUGGAAAAACUUCUCUUCAAUUUUUUCUUUCUCCUCGGAUAAUGUAUAGUCUAUAAUAUAAUAUACAAAUAUACCUUUCAAUUAUUAUCUUCUUAAUAUUAAUAUACUAUAUAUCACUAUGUAAUCAUCAUUAUAAUCAACAAUACAUUAUGAAAUAUUAAAUUUAAUUUUGUACUUUUAGAAGUCUAAAUUAAAAUAUUUUUUUUUUAUAAUAUAUCAUUAAUGUUAAAUAAUACUACAAAAAAUAAUUAAAUAAAAAUUACUUUUAAAGAAUAAAAUAAUUAAUUAUUACAUUAACUAAAUUAAAUAUUAUUUUUGUAACUAUUUAAUGACUAAAACUUUCUAAAUACAAUUUAAAGACUAUUUAUUAAUAAUAAAAAUUAUUCUAAAUAUUAAUAAUAUAUUAUUUGAUUUCAUCAAUAUAAUAAUUAAUUAUUUUUUAUUUUUAAAACUAGUUUUUAUUGAAUAAUAUUUUAAGAUAGCUAGCUGAUUAAUUUUAAUUAAGAACCUUCACUACUGAAUCUCUCUAAAAACGUUGUUUAACAAAUCAAAUCCAACAUAAAUCAUCAUCAGACAACCAACUUGUUAAUAUUAAAACCAUUGUAUUCUAAUUCCAUGGCAAUCUUAAUUUAGUUCACGUGCCAAACUAAUGAUACUUUAAAAUAUCCCAAUACUACUGAGAAUCAGUUCAUACCUAAAUAAAUAUGAAGAAAUUUUUUUCACUUUAUUUUAUUUUCCACUCUAUACAAUCAAAUAUCAUUUCAGAAAUUUUAUUAUUCUUGCUUCACUAAAAAAAAUCAUUAAAUAAAAAUUAAAUUAAAAAUUAUUUUAAAGAUUAAAAAAAUUAUUGAUUUCUAAAUUAGUUUUUAUUAUGAUUAAAUGGUUUCUAAAUUAGUAUUUAAUUAACUAUCAAAAUUUUAAUUACUAAUUAUUUAGAUUCUAAAUAUGAUAAGAAAACAUAGUUAAUUAAAUACUAAUUUAGAAAUCAACAAUUUUAUUAGUUUUCAAAAUAAUUUUUAAUUUAAUCAUUAUAAAAACUAACUAUUUUUUAUUUUUAAAAUUAAUUUUUAAUAAAUGAUUUAGUGUUUCUUCUUCAUUUCUUCCUCUCAAAACUUUACUCUUCGAGAACUAAUAUAUGCAAAAAUUUAUCAAACAUGUACAAAAACAAAAAUAUCAAAGAAAACCUGCAGAGGUAGUAAUUUAUUAUUUGCAAUCUGACAAGGAAUUAUUCUGAAGCAGAUUUGAUAAAUUGAGAGCACAGAUGAUAUCAUAAUACACAGACAGUAGCAGAACAACACAAUCGAAGUAUGAAUCUAGCAGAUAACAAGACAGGGAAACUAAAUUAGACUAAACAGCUGAGAUUCCAAGACAACCUUAAAACAUGAAAUGGAUCUUUGAAGAUGGAAACAACCUCAAAACAAGAAAUGGAAGUGGAACAUGUUCUUAGCAGUUCCUGGUGUAAUCAGCACAGUUUUUGUUAGGGCCACCACCGUUUUUUGAUGGCACGCAGCUGCGGUAACCUUUAAUUAUUGGACAAUCUACAGCUUUGUUGUUUUUGUUGCCUGUUUUGCCUGACUGAGAUUGGCUCACAUCGUAGAGCAUUCUUGAUGUAUGAGACACAAAUAAGAAUUCUGAUUCCAAAUCGUUGCCAAUGAGGCAAUCCUCUGUGAGACAGUUGGUGGCGUUGACAAGGUUGUGGUGGAUGAGAAGGAUGAGGAGCACAAGGGAGAGACCCUUCAUCAUCUUUUCGGAACUGAUUUCUCACUCAGCAAACAAGGUUAUGGUUCAGAGUGAAUACCCUUGUCGGUUUUGUACUGUUUUAUGCUAAAAUAAUUGAGGAAUCUUCUUUAACAUAAAGUUCACAGUCCAUUUAAUGUUGUGUUUCGAUUUGACAAGAAAAAGAAAAAAAAUUAAAAUAAGUGAAAAGUGAAUUUUAUUUUUGGAUUAUUGGAAAGAAAUAAAGAAUGAGUAGAAUGGAAGAUAAUUUUUUUUAUAAAAGUAUUUAUGUUACGUAUAAUAUGCAAUUUGAUAUCUCAGUUAGACUGAUAUUUCAAGUAAUAACAAUCAUCUGUCAUCAUAUAAAAAGUGCAUUAUUAAAAAAAAUACAAAAAAAUUUGAAGACUAAAACAAAACUCAUAUGUUAACAAAAACAAUACAUAGGUAAACUAUACCUAUUCAUAAAGAAUUUUAAGAACAUACUAGAUGAAAACCUAUUAUAUAAAUGAAACAAUUUUCUAUGAAUAAAUCCUAAAUUAGCCAACUUCUUAGCACACACAUUCUCUUCACGAAAAAAAUUUGAGUAACCCUAAAUUUGAUUUUUCUACAGUAAUUAAGACAAGUAUUUCAUCGAUUAUGAAUCAUCCACGGAACAUUAGUCCAAGCACUAAACGCAGCACAAACCAAUACAAAAUCACAUUUAAACUAGACAUUAGUAAGUCCCAUUUCUGAGCUUCCUCCAUAACAUGUAUAACACCAUAAAACUCAGCAAUUAUAAUGGUUUGAACUUUAAGAAACUCAGAGAAAGGACCAAUAAACUUCCCCAUAUUCCCACGGAAAAUACUUUCACAAGUAGUAAGACUAGGAUAUUCCUUAGCAACCCCAUCGGUGUUAAUUUUAACGCAGCCUGGUAAAGGAAACUCCCAUCUAACAGGAAGAAGACGAAGAACUUUACCAGGACGAGUAUUAAUACCAAAAAACUUAAUCACGUUGAAAUCCAAUAUAUCAUUCUUCAUUGAAGCUUUAGACAAAUUUCAGACUAGACAAGUUAGAUAUUUAAUUACCGAAAUAGCCUUAGAAACAUCAAUCUUAUAUCGAAAUUUAACAUAAUUUCCCAUAUGACAUAUCAUUUAAAUAGAAAAAGUUAUCACAAGCUUAAUAAGAUAAAUUUAAUUAUUAUUAUUUAUUUUUCUGUUUAUUAUUUCAAUAGUUUAAUUAUUUAUUGUUAUAAUGAAAAUCAUAAAUGUUAAUAAAAUGUUUAUGUAAAUAAUUCAUUAUCUAAUAAAUUAUUAAUAACUUAAUCACUACAAAUUUACAUUUGUUUAUGUUGAUAAUUAAAUCUGGUUCAGUAGAAGGCUGCUAUAGAAAAAUGGAUUGAAAUUUUGGUCUAUUCUUCUAACUUUUUUUUAAAAGUUGUUUUUUAAAAUUUUAUAUUUUAAAAAUUGUUUAUAUAUAUAUAUAUAUACCAAAACAUAUUUAAUUAUAUAAAUACCUUUUAAAUUUUUUAUUGAUUAAUCAAUGUCUUUAUUUGAAUGAAAUAAAAUAAUGAUUACUUUUACAUAUUAAAUUAGUCUAUUAUAAAUAAUAAUUGGAACUUACACUACAAGAAAAUCAUCAAAUAGAAAUCAAUUUUUAGAUACCAAAAUAAUUAGUUGCAAUAGUAACUAAAUUAGAGACCAUUUUAGAAACUAAAACAAAAAUUAGUUUCUAAAUUAAUUUUUAUUAUUGUUAAAUAAUUUUUAAAUUGGUAUCUAAUUAGCAAUACCAAUUAUUUAGUUUCUAAAACCUUUGUUGCUAAUUAGAUACCAAUUUAUAAACUAUUUAACAAUAAUAGAAACUAAUUUAGAAACCAAUCUUUGUUUUAGUUUCCAAAAAUGGUCUCUAAUUUAGUUACUAUUGUAACUAAUUAUUUUGAUCUCUAAAAAUUGGUUUCUAUUUCAUGAUUUUCUUGUAGUGUUAAUUUGUAAGAUUAAUAAUUGAAGUUAUUUUCCUUCAUUAAAUAAUAUAAUAAAAAAUUAUAUUUUAAAUUAUUUUAUUUUAAUUUUAAUUUAAAAAAGAAGACUAACAUGUGAGUUCAUUUUGUACUCUCCCUUUUACAAGUUUUAUUUUACAAAAUUAUAUUUAAUCAACAGUCUCCUAAUUCAUGAGUAAUACUUUCAAGAGGACAGUAAAAUUUUAUGCUAUUUAGUUAAUAUUUUUAUUAACUUAUAAAAGGUUAUUGAUAUUUUAAAGUAUACCAAUUUUGAUGAAUUGACUUUUUAAAAAUAUUUAAUGGAUUUAAAAGAAUUAUUUUAUUGUUACUUUUCUAUUUUUUCUUUCAUAUUUUUACAUAACGUACUCUCUCUACGUUUUAAAAAUUAUAUAGAUAUUCAUGUUCACAACUUUAUUUAUGAAAAAUGCCACUAUAAGCCUAUUAUUUAAGUAGAUAAUAAAGACUAAAAUUUGAUUGAACAUAAUUUUUUUAAAUAAAUAUAUUUUGUUUAGUGUAUUGAGAUUAAUGAAAUAUGUCUUGUCUUUGUCUCCUUGGAAAUGGAAUAAAAUUAAAUAGAAAAUAUUAAAUUAUUGCUUAAGAAGAAAAAUACAAAGGAUAAAUUUUGUUUUUUUAUUCAUAAAAAAAUAAUUCUCUUCCAAAUUCAAACAAAUGUUAAGGGGUGUUUUUUUUUAAUAAAAAUAAGAGUUAAAUAUUUAUUAAAAUAUAGUUAAAAAAUAUUUUAAAAUAUAAUAAAAAUAAUAAUUUUAUAUAAUUAUACAAAUAUUUUUAUAUUACUUUUUUUAUUUAUUUAAAUUCAUUUUUUACUCAUUGAAAUAAAGAUAAAUUUUCAUUUGCUUUUUAUCUACUUAAUCUCUUUUAUUAUGUUUUUCUCUUUUUCUAUUUUCUUUAAUUUUAUUUAUUGAAAAUCCUACAUCAUUUAAAAAUAAAACUAAUUUAUAAUAUAUUAUUAAAUACAAAUUUUAAUUUAUAAAUUAAUUAAGAUUAAGUUAAGUUUAACCUAUUCCCUCUUAAUAUAUAAAUAAGUAUUAAGAUGAAACUUAUGCAAAGUAAAAGUGCAUCUAAUAUUAAAUGAAGAUAAGUUAAGUUUAUGAAAUACUUCACUUAGAAAAAAAGGGAUAAAUAACGUGUUCUCUUAUUGUUUUUACAUAUUUAAGUCUUAAAUAUGUAACAAAGUACACAUAAGAAAAUCAAUCAAGAUUUCUGUAAAAUAAAGUUAAAAUUAUAUAUACUUCACAUGUGUAUCUUGGAAUUUUAGAGACACUUAUUUUAGUUAUUUUAUUUAAUUAAUUUAGGAGAGUUGACUUUACGCAAAGAUCUUUAAACUCUAUUUCUAUCGUGCUAAUUUUUUAUAUUAUUUUUCAUAUAACCAAGAGAUAAAUAUUAUUUUAUUUUUAUUGCCCAGAUUUUUUAAUAUUGGUGGCUCACAUGUUAGCACAAGUCUAUUCGAAAAAGCUUUCUACUUAAAUUUUGUUUGCUCUUCUUAAACAAUUUUGAAAGGAAUAAUCACUGAAAACGAAAUAACUAGCAGUUUUAUAGUGUAUGGUUUGGAAAAAUCUAAAUAACCUUUAAAAAUAUCAUUUUUAAAUAUAUAAAAAAACAUGGACGAUUAAAUUAUUUUAAAAAAGAAUCAAAAUAGUUUUCAUCUUCUUCCACUCUAGCAAUUAAAUAUGAAUAUUGUUAAACAUCCUUUAUAUAUAUAUAUAUAUAUAAUUCCUACUUAUAUAGAAAAAAUUAGAUAUAAAUUAUUUCUUAAACCCCUUAGAUUAAAAAAAACUUUUAAAAUUAUUCUUAGAAUAAUUUGGUUGAUGGGAGAUUAGGAAGUUUCUUUGUUGUUUAUUCAUACAAAUUAAAGAGAUUAAGGAGUUUUUUUGUUGUUUAUCCAUGUCUUCAUUUAAUUUGAUAAAAACUAAUCAAUAGGAAACAUGUAGGGACUUGAUUGUGAGUUGCCUUAAAAAAUGAUGAUAUUCCAGCUGUUUUUUUUAUAAUUUUCUGUGACAUUUUUUUUUCCUUUUUCUUAAAAUUUUCAUAAGCCUUUCAUUCUAUAUCAAAGUGGUAAGACCUAAUUCAUUAUUACUUAGUUUAACUAUAAUGUUUCUUUAAUACAAUAUAUGAAUUAAAUAGUAAUUAACUUAUUUAAUUAUUUUGUGUGUGUUAUUACUCUAUUUUAUAUCAUUAAUGGUUUGAAAGUACUUAAAAACAUAUUAAUAUAUGCAUUCAUCAAUAUUAUUAAAAUAUACUUCUAAAAUUAAUUUCUUACUACAUAAAUUAAAACAUCCUUAUAACGGCCAUAAAUACAACUCUUAAUGCAGUUCUAAAUUUGAUUCAAUAAAAUAAUAUAAUUAAAAGUUAUAAUAUCCAGUAUUUUUUUUUUAAAUUUGGCGAAUAUUCUCUAAAAAUUAUAAUCUGAAUUAUAUUGGGAUUCAAAUUCGGGAAAAUUUUGUUGAAUGACAUUUUUGUUUUUCACAAAAUUCUUGUCAGUGGUGUUCUCGAACGGAGUUUGGGACUCAGAGAAUUAUUGGUAUCGACAGUCUUCUAGUACCUAUUAGUCGAUCACUUCAGUCUUCAGCCUUCUUUCCUCCAGGCUCCUUCCUUCCUUCUCCCUCUACCUCUCGGUGGUCCGGUAACAUAGACUUGGAUGAUACCUGCAGAAGACACUCCGACAAUCAAGUCAACAAAGGUGUCAACACUUAGUUGUUAGAGUACUGUAGAUAAUGAUGUACCUGAUUCUUGGAAUUUGCGUUAUUUAUAUUACCUUAAUGGGACUUACUCGUUGGGCCGGAUUAGGGACUUGAAUCGCGCUUAGGCCUUUAGCUCCUAAUCGCGGGUUAGUUUUGCUAACCUGGCUCAUUAUGUUUGGUGUCGACCAGCUCAUCAUCAGGCACACGUGUAGACUUAGUCAUGAGGGCCGAGUCAUGGUGUCGUGAGAUCGGUCGGCCCAGAAGUGAAGAGAUGAUUGGGUCUGCCGUCCGGACCAUACCGAUACACUUGCCCCCCAGACUCGAGGAUUGGUCAAGUCGAAGAGUCUAAAAAGCGGCGGUCGGUUCCUAUAGACUCGGAAUGACGGUUAGGCUUCCCGAUGGGUGACAUGACGUGUGACGGCGUCUGAGCGGGUGACAUGAUGUGAAUUUAUGAGGGUUUUUUGGCGCCAAGUGACGUGAGUCGUUGGAGAUCCAACGGUUGGGAGAGUUGUAACUCUUCGUCUCCUGAGACUCUUUCGGGCUAUAAAUAGGGCCUUAACAGUGUUGAGACCUCAUGCUUUCAUCCUGAACCUUGCUCCGACACCCAAAUGUCUCUCGUCUUCGUGUGUUGCGUCUAUCUCCCUUCCAAAAGUUAUGAUGUCUUCUCUGUCUCGUCCUACUUCUUCUUCUUCAGCUGCCCCUUCUCCUUUCCCCAUGCCCCCUACGUCUUCGUCUGACCUGUCGUCCUCCUCUGCUUCCUCUACGACUGAAGUUAUGUCGAUCGAGCAGUCCAAACCUUGCCCCCUGUGGAGGAAACAAUAAGGGGUGAUGAUCUGAAAGGUUCCUCUGACUGGUUGAGUACCCCUGAGAAGGCGCAUCCCCUUUAGGGGUCUGCCUGUGUGGAUCCCAAAGUGUUUGGGAUUGUGUUUGACUUUCAGACCAAAGCCUCCAUUUCUAAUUUUUUGAAGAAGGUUCAUGUCUUGAAAGCGGACGCUAGGGCUUCUUUUAUGAGCUUUGGCCAUUGUGAGCUGACCGAUCGUGUCUAUCGGGAACAAUCAUCUACCGAACCCCCUUUCUUCUUCAUGUAUACCUGUCUUUUUUUUGACUUACACGUUUUCUUCCAUUUGAUGAGUUUACGAUGGACAUCCUUCAAGCGCUCAACAUAGCUCCAAUUAGUUGCACCCAAACACGUGGGCUUCUCUUCAAGCUUUUCGCCUAUAUGUAAUCUUUUUCGUUUGCGUCCCUCUCCUUCUUGCUUCUUUCAUUUCUACACUUUUCAUUCGUCCGACCCUGUCAGUUUGCACUUGUUGGUCAGUCGGUCGGGCAAUGUUUUGUUCAAAGCCUUCACGGCUUAUAAAAACUUCAAUGAGAGAUUCUUCAAAGUAUACGUGGAGCCUGAGGGUAUGCCACAUUUUUUUGACGAAGCCGAUCGGUCAAGGUUUCCUAAGAUUAGGAGCCCAACGAAAAUCAAGGACUGGCCUCAUCCAACCAACCCGAGUGUCGAUGAGGGAGGAAAUUUUUCCCCUCUCUGAUAACCUUCCAAGAAAACUCCCCGCGCGACAGUUGAUGUCUUUGUACGCUGUCCCAACCACUGGGUGGCAUUUAAGGGUAUGUUAAUUUGUUAGACCUUCGGCCGAACUUUUGAAUUUUAACUAAUGUUUUUUAUUUUUAAUGCAGAAGUGAUGAACAUAGAGGUUCUUCAAGCGAGCGGUGUGCUAAAAUCCUUUAAGGACUGUGCUGCUGAGAGGAGGGGUCAUUCGAGCAUUGAUCUCUUGCGACUGGUGGCCCGGGCAGGACCAUUCCAACAAAAUCCAAAGAAGAGGCAGCGCGAGAGAGGAACACUACACGAAAGAAUUGUUCGUCGGGCAUGAUGCCCGUGUCUCCUACACAUCGCACACUCUUUGAGGUUGAUUCGUCGCCGACUGAUCCCAACUGCCAUUGUGAUGUCGAUGGAUGCCGCUCUGAAGUCACCCCUUUCAGUGCUAGGGGUGACUUACGUUUUUCAAGUGGGGUGAGGGUGGAGCUUCACACCAAUACUGAAGAAAUAAUCCGGGUGGGACAGAGGAUGACUUGAUCCAAGGCGGGGUCGAGAUGAUAUGUCGGGGGUUGGUGCUGACCUGCCUUGGGGAAAACAUCCGGGGCCGCUGGGUGGAAGAGAUCUCGCACCUGGAGCACAAGCUGUUCGAGGCUUCGAGCAACUUGAGGCAGGCUGUUGACGCCAACACAACUUAUGAGAGAAAGCUGGCGGAGCAUGCUGCCGGAAGGGAGCUUGAAGCGGCUCAGAUUACCGAGCUCGAGCGGCUGGAGCUCGUGAGGGCACUUGAAAUUGGCCAACUGAAAAGGGCCUUGGAGGAGGCCGACCACAAGAUGUCGUCCAUGGAGGACGACAUGUCUUCCUUGAAGAAGGAGAAAGAAGCAGUCGAUGUGGAGCUGGACAAGACCAUCAACAAAACAAUGACUUUGAUUAAUCAAAGUUUUUCCUAGAUGUCCAACAUGCUCAUGUUCUGUAUAACGACCCUCCUCCUUCCGAUGAAUUCGACCCAGAUAUGAAUGUCUUCGACGGUCAGAUUUUUCCGAUGGAGGGGGUUUAGAAGUUGCAGAACACGGCUGAGCCAGUUCCGAGCCAGUGCUCAUUCGGUCGGGCUGUGGCCACUUCUUCUUCUCCUUUAAGGCAAGGGUGUGGCCUUCUCCUUUGUUCUUAUCAAUGAAAUCAAUUGUUUUUGCUUUCAAAAUUUUCACAAUUUAUUUUAAUCAGUCGGUCAUAACGUAUUUGAAUAAUUAAAAUUGAAUAACGAUCGACGUAUCUUAAUUGAAUAACGAAAAUUGAAUAAGUUAAACAAACAAACGGUGUGUCACGUUAUUGAAGCGAGUUUCGUAGUAGGCGAUGUCGGGAGGGUAUGCCAAUUAAGGCUUCAUCCUGAAUGAACCGUGUGCUUGGGGUAUCAGGAGGGUAUGCCGGUUAAGGCUUCAUCCUGGCCGAACCGCGUGCUUGGGUAUUAGAAGGAUAUGCCAGUUAAGGCUUCGUCCAGGCCGAUCCUUGCAUCUAAUGUGUCGGGAUGGUAUGUUGGUUAAGGCUUCGUUCUGGUCGACACUUGCGUUAUCUAGUGAUUCAAUAAAGAACUUCAUUCUUAUACACCAAAGCUGAUAAUUUUUACCACAAAACAGAGGUGGUUUAUUCAAAGAAGCACCUUCCCCCAAAACAAAACUAACCACUGCAUCCCAGAUUCCCAUGUCAAUAGACUCCAUAAAGAUCUUCAUCCUGAUUUUCCAGAAAGCAUAGUUAACACCACCAAACAUAGGGGGUCUAUUAAUGGAUGCACCUUCAGCAAAAGGCAUUUUAAACUCAGACAUCAUGCAUACACUUGAGCAAAAUACAAGCCCUAGCUCUGAUACCAAUUGUUGGGUCUAUUAGUGUCUAAGUUCAAGAGGGGAGGGGUGAAUUGAGCUUAUAAAAUUUUCGCAAGAACACACAAUUUUCAGUAUUCCAGAGGCAAAAAGAACAGAUUGUUUUUACAUGAAACAGAUUGAUUCUUCAGAGCAGUCUUGCACAAUUUGAAUUUGUUCAGCUUAGAAUUGUGAUUAGAAAGCAUUAACACAUUAGGAAGAACAAUUUUUAUUAAACCCAGAAUUAACAGAUUCAAUUUCAAAAGAACAGAUUUAGUUCUUGACAGAAUUAAACAAAACCAGAAACGAGUGCAGAGAUAAGAAGAAAAGGCACACAAGUUUUUAUACUGGUUCACUCAUACAGAGCUACAUCCAGUCUCACCUUACCCCAAGGUGGAAUUCACUAAAAACAGUACCAAUUUACUUACAAACACAACAGUUCUUGAACCCUACAAGAACCACACAAUCAAUGCUGAAAAACCCUAUUUCAGCACACCUUGCACUCCAAGAAACCCUAUCAAGGAGUGACUAACACUUACACCUUUACAAACAAGAAUAAAGGAAGGACUACACCUGAAAAGAAGAUGCAAGAACUCAAACCCAGUAGUUCACUUUGCUGCAGAAACUGCACCAGCACCUUCACCAAGAUCAAAGGUUUCCUAGAACAAGCACACUUGAAAAUCCCUUUGGAAAACCUUUUACAAAUCUUUCUCAAUCCUUCUUCUCACAUAGAAAGUGUUUAAUCUCUGUCAAAAACGUGAUUGCUCAGCUUCCUUUCAUGUGAGAGAGACUUUUCUUUAUAAAGAAACCAGUUUCUAACUUCUUUUCAAAAAACAGUUGAAAAGCAGUUAUGAAAACAACAUAUUUAUUUUUGAACUCAACAGGUUUAUUUUGUGAAAAAAACCGCCAACUCAGCUAACUGAAAUAACUGUCUAAGUUGUACCUUUGGUGCCCUAACUGAAUUUUAGAAAGGCCUUUUCACAGAGAAGAAAUGAACAGAUUCUUUCUCAAUGAAACAGAUUUAUUUUUGUACUUGAUUUAAAAUCCUUUAAGAGCACUUUUAAAAGCUUUUCAAAAAUCUUUUAACAGAGAAGAAAUAAACAGAUUCUUUCUCCAUGAAACAGAUUUAUUUUUGUACUGAUGUAAAACUUUUAAGAUUACUUUCAAAAGCUUUUCUGAGCAGACGACGAUCGUAGAUGGCAAUGCUCCACAUGAUCGCCGGUCAGUGGUCAGCAAAGCAGUCAAAAAACGAUGCAUGAUCGCCGGUCGGUGGUCAGUAUAGCUACUUGAAAAGGCGGUGCCUGAUUGCCGGUCGGUGGUCAGCAUAGCUACUUGAAAAGGCGAUGCCUGAUCGCCGGUCGGUGGUCAGCAUAGCUACUUGAAAAGGCGGUGCCUGAUCGCCGGUCGGUUUGAGGCAGAACACUUUCAAAAGCUUUUCAAAAAACCAUUUGACCACAUCAUGUGCUUGAUCUAGACUUGGUUAGGCAUCUAGGAUGGGUUAUACAGCAAAUGGCAACCUUCCACAUUACAAGCCUAAUUACAAACCAAUCUAAAAACCUAUUACAAUCUUCAAAGUACCCAAGCUAGUUUCUUCAUCAAACACACAUCAAGCCUUGGUAGGGAAGAAGCUUCCUCCAGCUUCAACAAUCUCCCCUUGUUUGAUGGAGACAAAUUUCCUUUGCUUUGCACAGCUUUGAAGAAAGAUCAUGACCAAACCUGUACAGUACUCUAUGAAUAUCAACUGCAGAACCUGUACCAGACUAUUCUUCUAUUCUUCUCCCCCUUUGGAUUCAUCAAACAGAAUGGGAGCACAAGAGACCAAAGAGAUCAUAGCCAUUCAUAACAGUUCAAAUAAAAACAACAUAGAGGUCUAUUACAAACCACAAAUCAACUAAAAACCAAUGCAAAAUAAAGACAAAACAGAUUAAUCCCAAAUUGUUCAACAACAUAUAAAAGAUGAAGAUUUAAAAAUAGGAUCACUUGUUGUUGUAAUAAAGCUCAGCUAGCUGCACUUGAACUCCUUCAAGUUGGUCAUCCAAGUGUUGAAACCUAGCGUAGGUCAUGUCAUAGUAUGCCUUCUGCUCAUAGCUGAGUGUGUCCAGCCUGCUUAGCACUUGUCUUUCAAACAUUGACAGAGGUUCACCUCUGUACUCAGGUGCCUCAUAUGCAACCAUUGCAUUUUGACUUGUUGCAGCAACAUCUUCAUCCAUGUGUUGCACACCAUCAGCAUUUGCUUCUCCUUCAUUUCCUUGAGGAGCCGCUUCUUGUUCAGCCCUCUGUCCAGCAUUUCUUCUGAAAACCCAGCCAUCUUCUUCCUUAUAGAAUCCCAUUUUCAUGAGGGUGGAGUUAUCUAUUUCACUUGCAGCUUUAAUAGUGUCAUUCCUUUCAUUGGUAGUAUCCACUUUAAAAUGAUCAAUUAGUUUUGACACAAAUAUUGCAUAGGGAAGACGAUAAUCAGGAAGCCUUGCAGAUUUCAUCAUAUGUUCAACCAUAGUGCUUACCCAAUUUACCUUAAGCUGGUUCAUGAUACAGUACAACAAUAUCAAGUCUUCCUCAUUAAGAACAGCAUGAUUGCUUCCUCGAGGGGUGAGCUGCCAAGCAAUUAUAUGAGCUAAGAGUCUAGGAAUCAAAGUUAGGUUACUUGCGUGAUACCUAGCUACUGGUUCAGUAGGAUUCCUCACACAACUUCUAUAAAACUGCAGCUUAUUGAACCCUUGAAUCCCAGCAGUGUUUCCUUUGUUUACUUUUAGCCCUGAGUAUUUGAUUCCACCUAUACUGCUCCAGAUUUCCCUAGUGAUCUUCAGCUUCACUCCUUUCACAUGGGAAACCAGAUUUUGACCAUCUUGUUCAAGGUUGCAGUAAAACACUUUCACAAGGUCUGGAUAAACAUUUCCAGUCAUCUCCAGAAAUCCUUUCAGCUUUUGAUGCUUGAGCAAGUCUUUGGCUUCUAUCAAAUUCUCCUCUUUCAGCCACGAGAACUCAAGCAUUUUGGGUACAUUGAUUUGCUUUCUGCCAGUCUCAUGUAUGAACCUUGUCAUUCCCUCUGAAUCUCCAGCAAACCAGUUUUCCAGAAUGCCUUGGUUGCUUUGAGAUUGCUCCUUGGAUUUCUUCUUUCUAUGUGAAGAUGAUGCCAUGCUUAAUCUGCUGGUAUUUGCACCUGGACAGCUUGGUAAAGAGAUGAGAAGAUGUGAAAGUAAUUGUUCAAACACCAGGAUUAUAUAGGAUUUAAGCCAGUUUUUGAAAGUCACGGGUUUUAAAUGCAAUAAAAUCAGACUCAAAUCAGAUUCUAUUCUAUGCAGUUUUGAAAGAAGCAAGAAUAUAUUGGAAACAUGUUUCAGCUUAUCAGGUCAAAUCUGUUACAUAAUCAGAGAUAUUAAAUCAGUUAGGAUAUUCACACAUGAAUGUCAUAAAACCAAUGGUCAAUAACCAUAAAAGCAGUCAAUGGUCAAAGAUCAUCAAUUCUGAAACUAAAGCGAAACAACACGUUAAAGCGCAAGAUAACAGAUUUAAAAUAUCAGAUAUGCUAUGGAUUUUAUUCCAAUGGUGCAGCAGGUUCAGGUGUGAGUUCACAUAAGAAUAUCUUGAAACCUGAUUUUGGCACAUCAAAUCUGUUGCAUCUACACAAAAUCCAAUUAGUUAGGAUACCCACACAUUAAUUGGCAUAGACCUGCUGGUCAAUAACCGUAAAAGCAGUCAACCAUAAAGUGGGAGAGAGAAAAGUAAAUCUUUCUCUUUCCUAGUCACAGUUGUAAUUUCUGAAACAGAGAACAAACAUGUUAAAAUAUAAAACAACAGAUUGAAAUUUUCNNNNNNNNNNNNNNNNNNNNNNNNNNNNNNNNNNNNNNNNNNNNNNNNNNNNNNNNNNNNNNNNNNNNNNNNNNNNNNNNNNNNNNNNNNNNNNNNNNNNACCCAAUUCAUUUAGAAGAAAGUAAAACCUGUCUUUAGCAAGUGGUUUAGUGAAUAGGUCAGCUAAUUGAAGUUCAGUACCAAUGAAUUUUAUAUCACAAGUUCCAUUAGCUAUAUGUUCUCUUAGAAAGUGAUGUCUAAUUUCAAUGUGUUUAGUCCUUGAGUGCAUGACAGGAUUCUUAAACAGAUUUAUGGCACUAGUAUUAUCACAAUUUAUAGGUAUGUUAUUUAACAGAAUUCCAAAAUCACUUAGCUGCUGCCUUAGCCAUAAGGUUUGAGCACAACAACUUCCAGCAGCUAUGUAUUCUGCCUCUGCUGUGGAGAGAGCAACACACGCUUGUUUCUUGCAAUGCCAAGAGAUUAGACUUGAUCCAAGCAUGUGACAAGUUCCACUUGUGCUUUUCCUAUCAACCUUACAACCUGCAAAGUCAGAAUCUGAAAAACCAGUUAAAUCUAAAGAUACCUUGUUAGGAUACCAUAAUCCAACAUCCUUAGAUCCUUGCAAAUAUUUCAGAAUUCUCUUUGCUGCGUUGUAGUGUGAUUCCUUUGGAUUAGAUUGAUAUCUAGCACAUAAGCACACAACAAACAUAAUGUCAGGCCUGCUGGCAGUUAAGUAUAACAAGGAACCAAUUAAACCCCUAUACUUGGUUUGAUCCACUGAUUUUCCUGCAGAAUCUUGAUCUAGCUGACAGCUAGUUGCAAUUGGAGUGCUGAUUGCUUUACAUUGAUCCAUAUCAAACCUCUUGAGCAGCUCCUUGCAGUAUUUUUCUUGGUUUAUGAAAAUUCCAUCCUUGAGUUGCUUAACUUGUAGUCCANNNNNNNNNNNNNNNNNNNNNNNNNNNNNNNNNNNNNNNNNNNNNNNNNNNNNNNNNNNNNNNNNNNNNNNNNNNNNNNNNNNNNNNNNNNNNNNNNNNNNNNNNNNNNNNNNNNNNNNNNNNNNNNNNNNNNNNNNNNNNNNNNNNNNNNNNNNNNNNNNNNNNNNNNNNNNNNNNNNNNNNNNNNNNNNNNNNNNNNNNNNNNNNNNNNNNNNNNNNNNNNNNNNNNNNNNNNNNNNNNNNNNNNNNNNNNNNNNNNNNNNNNNNNNNNNNNNNNGUUCUGGAUUUUUGUGGUCUUCAAACCCUGGAGGCUGAGAUACAAACACCUCUUCAUUGAUGUAGCCAUUUAGGAAUGCACUCUUGACAUCCAUUUGAAACAGCUUGAAACCUUGUAUGCUGGAAAAUGCUAGAAGUAAUCUGACAGCUUCAAGACGUGCUACUGGUGCAUAGGUUUCACCAAAAUCAAUACCUUCUUCUUGAUUAUAACCUUUAGCAACCAGCCUUGCUUUAUUUCUAGUGAUAGCUCCAUGUUCAUCCAUCUUGUUCCUGUACACCCACUUGGUUCCUAUGAUAUUCAUCUCAUGNNNNNNNNNNNNNNNNNNNNNNNNNNNNNNNNNNNNNNNNNNNNNNNNNNNNNNNNNNNNNNNNNNNNNNNNNNNNNNNNNNNNNNNNNNNNNNNNNNNNACUUUAUUGUAUUCAAACUGGUUCAGCUCUUCCUGCAUUGCUGUUAUCCAAUUGCUGUCUUGCAGUGCUUCUUCUAGAUUUUUAGGCUCAAUCUGUGACACAAAAGCCACUGUUCUGCAAAAAUUGUUGAGUGAAUUCCUUGUUGAGACUCCUUUCUCAAUAUUACCAAUUACAUUGUCAAGAGUGAGAUCCCUUGGAGUCUUCCAUUCUUUAGGCAAACCUGCAUUCACAGUAGAUUCUUUGAUAGAAUUUGAAUUAGUUGCAUCAAGCUCACUAGAUUGAUUCUGUUGCAGAAUGGUUCGUAAAUCAUCCAUACCAGGUUCAUCCAGAACAGAUUUGGGCACAAAAAAAUCUGUUUCAUCAAACACAACAUGUAUAGAUUCUUCAACUGCAAGCAAUCUUUUGUUAUACACUCUAUAAGCAUGACCAUUUAUUGCAUAACCAAUAUGUAUUCCUUCAUCUGAUUUAGGAUCAAAUUUCCCCAAAUUAUCUUUACCAUUAUUUAAAACAAAACACUUGCAGCCAAAUACCCUAAGAUGACUAAUGCUAGGCUUCCUUCCUUUAUACAAUUCAUAAGGAGUUUUCUUAAGAAUUGGUCUAAUCAAUGUUCUGUUAAGCACAUAAGAAGCAGUAUAUACAGCAUCAGCCCAAAAGUAUUUAGGUAAACCAGAUUCAUUUAGCAUAGUCCUAGCUAACUCUUCUAGUGAUCUAUUCUUUCUUUCAACAACACCAUUUUGUUGGGGUGUCCUAGGAGCAGAAUAACUAUCUGUUAUCCCAUGUUUUUCACAAUAUUUAUCAAACUUAGCAUUAUGAAAUUCUCCCCCAUGAUCACUACGAAUCUGUUUUAUCCUAUUUUCAUUUUCAUUAUGCAGAACCUUAGCUAGUUUCUUAAAGGCUUUAUAUGCAUCAUUUUUAGAAGCAAGAAACAAAGUCCAUGUAUAUCUUGAAAAGUCAUCAACAAUCACCAAAGCAUAGUAAUUUCCAGCUAAGCUAGCAGUCCUAGAUGGUCCAAACAAAUCCAUAUGCAAAACAUCCAAAGCUUUAUUUGUAGAAACCAUAUCUUUUGAUUUAAAAGAAGUUUUAAUCUGUUUUCCUUUUACACAAGCAUCACACAAUCUGUUAUUUUGAAAUUUUAUGUUUGGUAAGCCAGAAACAAGAUCCUUAGACUUUAGUUUAUUCAAGUGAUUUGUGUGAAUGUGAGCUAGCCUUCUAUGCCAUAACCAAGAUUCAUCACUUUUAGAAAGCAAACAUUCAUUUUCAGAACAGCUAUUCAUAAUAUCUAAGAGAUAGAUGUUGUUUACCCUUUUUCCAGUGAACAGCACCUUACCAGAAAUUUCGUUUGAAAUUGUACAAGUGUUGGCUUCGAAAUUGACCUUGUAUCCCUUGUCACACAGCUGGCUAAUGCUUAGAAGACUAUGUUUUAGCCCUUCAACAUACAAUACACUCUCUAUAGUAGUUGAGCCUUUAAUACCAACAUCUCCUCUUCCAAGAAUUUUUUCUCUAUUGUUGUCCCCAUAUGUGACAUGUCCUUCAGCUUUGAGUUUCAGAUUUAUAAACUGAGUCACAUCACCAGUCAUGUGCUUUGAGCAACCACUGUCAAGGUACCACUGGUUUUUCCUGCUGUUUUUCUGCAACAAAACAGAUUCAGAACACAUGGUACCCCUUUAGUCUAGGGUCCAGCAUGAUUAAUACCUUUCCUUAGGAAGCCAUUUGGCCAAUCCUUUAGGAACUAGGUACCUCCUAGCUUUACAUGUUCUAGAUACAUGACCAGAUUUCAUACAAUAAAAACAUGUUGCAGUAUGCAUUGUUCUUGAAUGAGUAAAAGAGGAAAAACCUGUUUUGGAAGGAACAAAGAAACUUGACAGCUUUUUCACAUUGCUUUUCAUUUCAGAUUUAUAUCCUAGACCAUUUUUAUUAAAAACAACAUUCUGUGAACCUAAUAAGGUCUCAAGAUUUUCUCUUCCUUUAGUGAAAUUUGAAAGCGUUUUUAACAAAUAUUCAACUUGUUUUUCCAGCUUCUUACAAUUAUCACAGGUUUUAAUUGAUGCAUGCAGACAUGUUAAUUCAAGGCUAACUAAUUCAGUUUUAGCUUUGUGCAAUUCUUCUUCAAGAGUUUUAACCUUAGGUUCAAGUAUCCUAUUUACUCUAUUCAAUCUGUUACACAUUAUAGCCAAUCUGUUUGCUUCAUCAUGCGUUUCCUUAAAAGCUAUUAACAGCUGAUCAUAAUUUUCAGAAUCAGUGGAGAAAUCACUUACUGAGUCAGAGUUGAAUCCUUCAUCAUUCACCAUGAAGCACAUAUUUGCUUCUUCACUUUCAGUUGAGGAAUUACUAGAUGAGGAUACAUCAUUUUCUUCCCAUGAUAUGUAUGCUCUUCUACCUUUGCCUUUGUCACUCUUCUUGCUUGCUGAUUUUUCUUUAUUUUGAUUGUUUGGACAAUCAGCUUUUAUAUGACCUGGUUUACCACAUCCAAAGCAAGUGUAAUUGGAAGAAUUUGAAUCAUUAGGUUGUUUGGAGUACCUCUUUCUCUGCUGAGUUCUGUCACGGUUUUUCUUUCUAAGAAACCUGCUGAAUUUUCUGGUGAGCAGACUCACGGUCUCAUCAUGUUCAGGAUUAGCUUCUUCCUCACUUGUAUCAUGUUCCAAGGUAGUUUUCAGAGCAAUUCCUUUGGCUUUCUUCUCCACAGUUUCUUGUUCUUUCAAUCUUUUCAGCUCUAUUUCAUGCUCUAUCAACUUUCCAAAGAGUGCAGCAGUGGACAUCUUGAAUAAAUCUUUGGAUUCUGAGAUUGCUGUUACCUUAGGCUGCCAGCUCCUAUCAAGACAUUUCAGCACCUUUAUGUUGAGCUCUUCCUUGUCAAAGACUUUACCAAGACCAGUGAGAUGAUUUACAAUGUGUGUAAAUCGUUUCUGCACAUCUGCAAUACUUUCUUCAUAUUGCAUUCUGAAUAGCUCAUACUCUUNNNNNNNNNNNNNNNNNNNNNNNNNNNNNNNNNNNNNNNNNNNNNNNNNNNNNNNNNNNNNNNNNNNNNNNNNNNNNNNNNNNNNNNNNNNNNNNNNNNNCAUGAGUUACCACUAGUACCUCCCACAUCUCCUUAGCUGAGUUACAUUGAGAGACUCUAAAGAACUCAUCCAUAUUCAGUGCAGAGGUGAUGAUAUUCUUGGCUAAGGAGUCAUAUUGAGCCUUCUUCCUCUCGGUUUCACUCCAUUCAGACCAAGGCUUCUUUAUUGUUUCAUCUUUGACAACCUGCAUAGGUAUAAAGGGUCCACUAACCACUGCAUCCCAGAUUCCCAUGUCAAUAGACUCCAUAAAGAUCUUCAUCCUGAUUUUCCAGAAAGCAUAGUUAACACCACCAAACAUAGGGGGUCUAUUAAUGGAUGCACCUUCAGCAAAAGGCAUUUUAAACUCAGACAUCAUGCAUACACUUGAGCAAAAUACAAGCCCUAGCUCUGAUACCAAUUGUUGGGUCUAUUAGUGUCUAAGUUCAAGAGGGGAGGGGUGAAUUGAGCUUAUAAAAUUUUCGCAAGAACACACAAUUUUCAGUAUUCCAGAGGCAAAAAGAACAGAUUGUUUUUACAUGAAACAGAUUGAUUCUUCAGAGCAGUCUUGCACAAUUUGAAUUUGUUCAGCUUAGAAUUGUGAUUAGAAAGCUUUAACACAUUAGGAAGAACAGUUUUUAUUAAACCCAGAAUUAACAGAUUCAAUUUCAAAAGAACAGAUUUAGGUCUAGCAGUUGCAAGGGACGAGGGAGGGUACUGCAUAAGAAGAAAAGGCACACAAGUUUUUAUACUGGUUCACUCAUACAGAGCUACAUCCAGUCUCACCUUACCCCAAGGUGGAAUUCACUAAAAACAGUACCAAUUUACUUACAAACACAACAGUUCUUGAACCCUACAAGAACCACACAAUCAAUGCUGAAAAACCCUAUUUCAGCACACCUUGCACUCCAAGAAACCCUAUCAAGGAGUGACUAACACUUACACCUUUACNNNNNNNNNNNNNNNNNNNNNNNNNNNNNNNNNNNNNNNNNNNNNNNNNNNNNNNNNNNNNNNNNNNNNNNNNNNNNNNNNNNNNNNNNNNNNNNNNNNNNNNNNNNNNNNNNNNNNNNNNNNNNNNNNNNNNNNNNNNNNNNNNNNNNNNNNNNNNNNNNNNNNNNNNNNNNNNNNNNNNNNNNNNNNNNNNNNNNNNNNNNNNNNNNNNNNNNNNNNNNNNNNNNNNNNNNNNNNNNNNNNCUUUUCUUUAUAAAGAAACCAGUUUCUAACUUCUUUUCAAAAAACAGUUGAAAAGCAGUUAUGAAAACAACAGAUUUAUUUUUGAACUCAACAGGUUUAUUUUGUGAAAAAAACCGCCAACUCAGCUAACUGAAAUAACUGUCUGAGUUGUACCUUUGGUGCCCUAACUGAAUUUUAGAAAGGCCUUUUCACAGAGAAGAAAUGAACAGAUUCUUUCUCAAUAAAACAGAUUUAUUUUUGUACUUGAUUUAAAAUCCUUUAAGAGCACUUUUAAAAGCUUUUCAAAAAUCUUUUAACAGAGAAGAAAUAAACAGAUUCUUUCUCCAUGAAACAGAUUUAUUUUUGUACUGAUGUAAAACUUUUAAGAUUACUUUCAAAAGCUUUUCUGAGCAGACGACGAUCGUAGAUGGCAAUGCUCCACAUGAUCGCCGGUCGGUGGUCAGCAAAGCAGUCAAAAAAUGAUGCAUGAUCGCCGGUCGGUGGUCAGCAUAGCUACUUGAAAAGGUGGUGCCUGAUCGCCGGUCGGUGGUCAGCAUAGCUACUUGAAAAGGCGAUGCCUGAUCGCCGGUCGGUGGUCAGCAUAGCUACUUGAAAAGGCGGUGCCUGAUCGCCGGUCGGUUUGAGGCAGAACACUUUCAAAAGCUUUUCAAAAAACCAUUUGACCACAUCAUGUGCUUGAUCUAGACUUGGUUAGGCAUCUAGGAUGGGUUAUACAGCAAAAGGCAACCUUCCACAUUACAAGCCUAAUUACAAACCAAUCUAAAAACCUAUUACAAUCUUCAAAGUACCCAAGCUAUUUUCUUCAUCAAACACACAUCAAGCCUUGGUAGGGAAGAAGCUUCCUCCAGCUUCAACAGUUUAUACCAGCAACAGAAAUAGAAUUAACACAAACAGUUAUAAGGAGUUAGAGAUAGAGAGAUUUACACAAUAGUUUCAUACUGGUUCACUCAACCUUGAGCUACAUCUAGUUCUCAAAACAACCUCAGAGUUCCACUAGUAAUCAGAUCCAGAUUACACCAACACAUCACAAAGAGGUGACCUUGAAAACCACAAGACCUACCUCACCCUCUUUGCAACACCACACACCUCAAGUCAGAACACCCUCUAACAUUGCAGGAUUUCACACACACUUACAAUUAAUGAAAGUACAAUUACACGAACCUUGAAAGGGAUAGAAAACACCUGAGAUUAUACAAAACAGGAAGCCCUAUGAUCAAAUCUUGUCCCAGUGCAAAGCUUUAAUAGCAAUCUUGCAAAUCUUUUGAAACUUCUUUCAAAAAAAAAAUCUCAAUCUCUAUUUCAAACUCUUUAAAACUUGGUAUUUUUUUUUGAAAGAAAGGCUAUAUUUAUAACACUUGAAAACUAGUCAUUCAAGGCAACAUUAAUGAGCUAAAACAAUUUUGAUCACAUUCAAAACAGUUAAAACAGGUUUUCAAAAAACUGUUAUGAAAGCACACAAUCAACCGGUUGAAAUCACGAUUUAACUGGUUGAAUUGGUUAGGCAGUUACAUAACGAAGUCAAAAACAAUUUCAAAACCUUUAAGACAACUAAGUGACAAACAACCGAUUAUAUCGAUAAUUCAACUAGUUUCAAAGUCUAUUUACCUAUUCGUUUUUGGGGAGAUUUUGUUUUAACUGCGAUUUACCUCAUUAACCGCUUACCUUCCCCCAUUCGGUUAGAUAAAACACCCUUCAACUAUUAUACAACCAAGUUUCAUCUGUUACACGUUUACGGAUUUUCAGCAACCUAAGUUAUGCAACAGUGAAUCAUCCCAAGCACAAAUUUGACCCCCGCACUCGAUGGUGCGUCUUUAUUGGAGUAGGGACGUGGUUUUUCAUGAAACCAUUUUUCCUUUUCAUGAAACAACAUCACUCACACACUCUUCUAUCCUACCAAAUUUGGUCCUUGACUUAGACCAUCAAAAUUGUACAUUUCAUACAACACUUCCAAACUCACAAUCUGGUUCACCAACUUCGCCUAGUGAGCCACCCAUUGAGCCUAUGGCCACUGAAUCACCCACACCUAAUUAUCCCUGAUAUUUCUACACAACCACUUAGACAUUGUACACGUCUCAAGCAUCCUCCUGCAUGGCAUAAAGAUUAUUUGCUGCCACCUCGCGCAAAUCACUCCAGCCAAGGUUUUCUCCGAGGUACACGAUACCCACUUUCUCAUUUUAUUUUUUAUUUCAACUUAUCUUCUACUCAUUGUACUUUUUUAGCUAACAUUUCUACACUAGAGAGCCUUCAUCAUAUGAUCAGGCCAUUCUUCCUCCCAAUUGGAAGGAAGUCAUGGAAUCUGAAUUAUCAGUAUUAACAGAAAACAACAUCUAGAGCAUUGUUUCAUUAUCAGUUGGCCACAAACCCGUAGGAUGCCAAUGAGUUUAUAAAAUAAAAUACAGGUCUGAUGAGAGCAUCGAACGAUAUAAGGUGUGCUUAGUCACCAAAGGCUAUACGCAAGUGGGAGAGAUGGACUAUAUUGAGACUUUUUCUCCUACCAACUUGAAGUAAAAAAUGUAUUUUUUGCAAAAUGACCUUCAUGAAACUUUGUACAUGGAGCUUCCUCUCGAAUUUCGCCGAUAUGGAGAAAAUCUGGUUUGUCGGCUUAUAAGUCCUUGUACGGAUUAAAAGAAGCGUCCCGAAAUUGGUUUGCUACUUUCUCUAAGGUUAUUUAAAAGGUAGGAUAUAUUCAAUCAAAAGCAGACUAUUCUUUAUUUACCAAGAUCGUGGAUUAAAGUCAAGUCCCUUCAGUGACCAAAGAAGUUUUAACCAUUACACUACACAAAUUUUUAGUCAUAUUAUGAUUUUUAUUAUAGUUAUUAUUAUUAAUAUCAUUUAUAUUAUUAAUAUUAUUCAUAAUAUAAAUAUUAUUAAACCUAUUAAUACUAUUAAAUGUUAUUUAUAUUAUAAACAUUAUUAAUAUUAUUAAAUAUUAUUAAUAUUAUAAACAUUAUUAAUAUUAAUAUUAAUAAAAAUUAUUAAUAUCAAUAUUAUCACUAAUAUCAAUAUUAUUAUUAUUACAAUUAUUAAAAAUAUUUUGUAUGUAAAACUUUAUAUACGGAUACACUCCGUAUGUAUUUUUUUUAUAAUUUUAAUAUUAUAAUUUUUUGUUUAAUUAAAUUAAAAGAAAUAAUUAAACUCAAAUUAAUUUUCUAAUUUAAUUAUAACAACAUAAUAAAUCUUAAAAUUAUUUCAAUUCCCUAUAACCUUCUUUUAUAUUUUAAUUUUAAAUUUUUUUAAUUUUAGUUUUUUCAUUGCUUUUAAUUCCCAUAAAUCCAAAUUUUUAUGUAAAAAUCUGUAUGUAAUGGUCACUUUAUAUAUGAAUCUGGAUCCGUAUGUAAAAAUCGGUAUGUAACACUUACUUUACAUACGAAUCUGGAUCCGUAUGAAACAAUCCGUAUGUAAUGCUCACUUUACAAACGAAUUUGAAUAUGUAUAUAAAAGUACGUAUGUAACGCUCACUUUGCAUACGAAUUUAAUGCUUACUUUACAUACAGAUUUGGAUCUGUAUGUAAAAAUCGGUAUGUAACACUUACUUUACAUAUGGAUCCAAAUUCGUGUAAAAAUCCGUAUGUAAUGCUCACUUUAUAUAUGGAUUCAGAUCCGUAUGUAAAAAUCUGUACGUAACAUUGACUUUAUAUACGGAUCCAAAUCCGUAUAUAAAAAAACCGUAUGUAGUGCUCACUUUACAUAUAAAAUUUGAAUCCGUAUAUAACACUACAUGAAAAUCAUGAAAUAGAAACUAAUUUUUAGAGAUUAAAAAUAAUUAGUUGCUAUAGUGACUAAAUUAGAGAUCAUUUUUUAGACUAAAAAUUUUUUGGUUUCUAAAUUAGUUUUUAUUAUUGUUAAAUGGUUUCUAAAUUGGUGUCUAAUUAUCAACCUUGGUAGCAAAAACCUUAGUGGCUAAUUAAACACUAAUUUAGAAACUAUUUAACAAUAAUAGAAAUUAAUUUAGAAACUAAAUUUUUCUUAGUCUCUAGAAUGAUUUCUAAUUUAAUCACUAUAGCAACUAAUUAUUUUUUAUAUUUAAAAAUUGGUUUUUAUUUCAUAAUUUUCUUAUAGAGUAAUAAUUGAGAUGUAAAUAGCAAAUUUUUUAACAGUAGAGCACAACUGAAGUAUGAAUCUAGCAGAUAACAAGACAGGGAAACUAAAUUAGACUAUAAACAGUUGAGAUUCGGACACAACCUUAAAACAUGAAAUGGAACUUAGAAGAUGGAAACAACCUCAAAACAAGAUAUGAAAGUGGAACAUGUUCUUAGCAGUUCCUGGUGGUUUCAUUACAGUGUUUGUUAGGGCCACCACCGUUUUGGGAUGGCAGGCAGCUGCGGUAAGCUUGCGCUUUUGGACAAUCUACAGCUUGGUUGUUUUUGUUGCCUGUGUUGCUAGGCUCACAUCGUAGAGCAUUCUUGACGUAUGAGACCCAAAUGAAAAUUCUGUUUCCAAAGCGUUGCCGAUGAGGCAAUCCUCUGUGAGACAGUUGGUGGCGUUGACAAGGUUGUGGUGGAUGAGAAGGAUGAGGAGCACAAGGGAGAGACCCUUCAUCAUCUUUUCGGAACUGAUUUCUCACUCAACAAACAAGAUUAUGGUUCAGAGU
rnacentral:lncRNA from 1 species